CCUACGGGCGGCAGCAGUGGGAAAUAUUGGACAAUGGGGGGAACCCUGAUCCAGCCAUGCCGCGUGUGUGAAGAAGGCCCUCGGGUUGUAAAGCACUUUCAGUGAGGAAGAACGCCUGGUGGUUAAUACCCAUCAGGAAAGACUUCACUCACAGAAGAAGCACCGGCUAACUCCGUGCCAGCAGCCGCGGUAAUACGGAGGGUGCGAGCGUUAAUCGGAAUUACUGGGCGUAAAGCGCGCGUAGGUGGCUUGAUAAGCCGGUUGUGAAAGCCCCGGGCUCAACCUGGGAACGGCAUCCGGAACUGUCAAGCUAGAGGGCAGGAGAGGAAGGUAGAAUUCCCGGUGUAGCGGUGAAAUGCGUAGAGAUCGGGAGGAAUACCAGUGGCGAAGGCGGCCUUCUGGACUGACACUGACACUGAGGUGCGAAAGCGUGGGUAGCAAACAGGAUUAGAUACCCUAGUAGUC
rnacentral:rRNA from 1 species